UCGCAUCGUGUUACUUAUCUUCGACAACAGUUGUAAUAACUAAACACUACUAAAGAAUUGUUCCAGAAAAGAUUAUUACAAUCGUAAAUUACAAAUUAAAAACUUUCUCUCAUUAGACAGAAAGUUUGUACUUAUUGCAGUGGGAACAGAGCUGCGUAUUUAGGACACAACCCUCCCCCCUCCAAUUUCGCCAGUACUAUUUUCCGCUGACGGAAUGCACCCAAUCAGAUCGAGCUAUUGAUGUUUAAGUACCGCGUGUAUUGUCUUAAAUAAUUCUCUUAAGAAUUGAAGUAAAGCGAUUUCCUUCUAAUAGCGCCCACAAAGGGAAUUGUGCGUAAAACAUGUUAGCCCCUUAAGGGCACCAGACCACCGCAUGGAGUGCUGUGAAUAACAUGCUGCUGUUCUGGAUGCUUUGAGUGUUGGGUUGGCCGGGAUGACGCAACACGUCACAAAACAAUCACUGCAGUAUAUUCCAGGAAGAUGUCCAAUGGGCAUAAAAGUGGCGACAUCAGCCUCUGUGGGCAUUCCUAACAGGCAAGUGGUGCAGGUGCGGAGCAAAGGGGCAAACCACUUUCGAGCCUAGCUCCAGCAAAGAGUGUGAACUGUGGACUUGGCAGAUACUUAGUGAUUUGUGGACAGACAUUAAGUAUGGAGAUUUAAUUAGCAAUAAAUAAAACUGUCUAAAAUUA